ensembl:lncRNA
CCGCCUAAGAUGCAGGCAUGCAUAGGCUCUGGGCAGAAAAAACAAGUUACUGAGGUCUCAGGGCGAGGUGGGGGCCCCAGAGGACGCCGGGCUGUGGAUGUGGCACUGUCAGAGUCCUCACACAGGGACACAGCACAGCCACGGCUCGGGGAGGGCGAUGUCCUAAAGGCAGUGAGGAUAUCUUACUUUAUUUUGUUUGUUUGUUUUUGAGGCAGGGUCUCGCUCUGUAGUCCAGGCUGGCCUCUAUCUUGCAGCAGUCCUCCUGCCUCAGCCUCCUGAGUGCUGGCAUUACAGGCAAGCACCACCACACCCAGCUGAGGAUAUUUUAAAUGGGAAAGCACUUGCCUAGAAUGUGUGAGGACUGGGAUUCCAUCCCCAGCAACAAAGGAAAAAGAAGUUUGGAGAAAAUGGUCCGAAAAUGACUGAAGAUAAACUCCACACAUAAGUCCCUGACCCUUGGACACCGCAGUCUUCAGAGGCUGGGCCACACACAGCAGGCACAGAGGCCCAGAGAGGGCCAUGGCUGGGACAGAGCCAGCCCGGAGCAUCCCCCUCAGCUCUGAGCGCCUCCUCCAGCCCCGGCCUGGGUUCUGAACCUCCUGGCCUGGGUUCGGAACCUCCUGGCCGCAGAGCAGUGUUUGGUGCUAGAGAAGGUUCUGAAGGACACUGGGCAGUCAUUGCUGCAGCCUGCAGGUAAGCUAGGCCAGAAGGUCAGCUCUGGCUCCACACUCACCCUCCCCUCGCUCUCGCCAGGGAAUAACUCAAGCUCAGUAAGUGGCAGGGCCCUGGGCUCAGCACUAGAGACCUGGUGAUGAAUCAGACACAAUUCCUAACAGAUUAAAUUCCUGGUUCAGGGCAGGAGACAGAUGGAAAAAGAUGUGAGGAAGGUGGUGUCAGGACAAGAAGAUUGUCAGGGGACCUGGAAGCAUAGAGGAGGAAGAGACUCUUUGGAGGAUGGAAAAGGGGACAUUUGAGUUGGGCAUUGAGGGAUGAAUAGGAGUUCAUCAGACAAUUACAGAAGAAACGACCUACCAGUCAGAAGAGCAAGCAAGCGGCACCAAGCUCUGACACCAUAAUAGCUUCAGGAAACAUGGGGUUUGAUAGAAAUAGUGGGAGGAAGCUGGGAGGUAGCCACAGCAGAGGCCAGAGCCCAAAGAACCCCAAGGGCUGAGCCAUGGACAGGGAACGGAUGGGGGCAGGAUGGGUGCCACAGUGGGAGCCCCGUGACCUGGGAAUGGGUGCCUGCUGGUGGCACUUCCUGGGGACACUGGAGGAGCUUCCUAGAGCAGCUCUUACUCUGAGACAGGGAAACUGUGGCCCCUCUGAGGGUCGAAAGCACAGGCAUCGGAGUUGAUGCCUGGCCCUGGCCCCGGGUCCCCAGAUCUGCGGGAGCCUGGGACUGGGUCCCUGUGUGCUGUGGGUGGCCCAGCUGAGGACUUGCAGAACCCGGGACAGAGCCCCUGAGACAGGGCUGACUGUGCUGCUCCGGGCCUUGCUCUUCUUUCUUUAAAAGGAAUUGCUUUGCUCUUGGACAGAGAGCCCAACCCGGCUGCCAUGGGAAGUUGCCCCCCUCUGCAGCCCCCACUUCCUCUGGGCCGGGAUGGGGCGCCUGCUGUCUCCCGCCUGCCGGCUCCCCAUCUGUGUCGAGGAGGGGUCCGCAUGAGUCAGGCCAACGCGGUUUCCUGUGGAGCUCGGUUUUCCCGCAUUGUUUCAGCCUGUGUCUGCACACGCACUCCUACUGCCCUGGGAGCCCCUGUGCAAACCCCCAGGAGGGGGCGGGGGCUCCAGGUGCUGGGCUGGUGUCGUCCCCACCCCUGUGGUGGCAGAGACCUGCUCGGCCUGCUCUCCAGCCAGUGGUAGGCUGGCUUUCUAUGUAGCCCAGGCUGGUCUUGAACUCACAGUGAUCCUCCAGCCUCAGCCUCCCAAGAUCUGCGAUUAUAGGUGUGCAAACCAUGCCUGGCAUUUGCAGGGUCUUUGAAGCCGGCCGGCCCUGGGUUCAAAUCCUGACAAGCCCUGGUCACCUCAAGCCAGGCUCAAGCACGGUCAGAGGUGAGGGCGAGCGGGCGCAGUGUCCCACGUUCUCCUCGUGCAACUGGGAACCAGGCCUGGAAAAGGCAACUGCUCUGUGACAGUGCGCCUCCUGCCAGGCCUGCAUCGCCACCAGCAUUGCUUGCUCUCAGACUGUCCCCCGGGGACCUUCAGUCAACCCCUGGGGUUGCACAGAGUGGACACCGCCCCGGUGCUGAGAGCUGACUAUCAUCACGAGCUCUGCCGAGAGUUUCCAAAGACAGAAGGAAGUUGCAGGUGGGCGUGGGGGUGCACACCUGUUAUCCCAGCACCGGGAGGCUGAGGCAGGAGGAUCGCUGUGAGUUGGAGGCCAGCCUGGGCUUCAUAGCGAGACCCUGUCUCAAAAAGCAAAGGGAGAAAGGAGAAACAUGGGCACCUCAGUCUUCCUCAGCUCUGCCCGGCUCCUCUGCCCCUUCAGACCUGCUCCCUGUGAACUCAGUCCUGUGAUGUCCCCGUUGAUCCUUGGAACCUGGGGUUGCCCUCUGCUGCUGGGGGAAGUGCCAGGGACAGAGAACAUUAGCUGCUUUUCCGACCAGCCUCUCUGUGUCCCCUGCUGCAUCAGACUUGGCUUGUUUUGACCCCGACUCCCUUCAGGUCUGGUCACCAGCCUGUGCUGGGAGCAGCAGGGGCUACGGGCAGAGAACACAGUGUCGCCUGCCUGCAGGCAACCGAGUCCAGGGUGCCCUUGUUAAAACAGGCUGGGUCCUUCCCUCACUCACUCAUUCACUCAACAAACACUGGAGGUGCGGAGGAGAGACCCUGCCUGGGGUGUCCUUCCUGAUGUGCAGGGGGCAGAGCUGAAGGAGGCAGUGUCCACUAGGGGGUCAGAGCACCGUGCUGAGGGAGGCCGGGUGGGGGGUACCUGCUUGGCUCCAGCCUUCUUAAGGUGUAAUUUACCUGCCCGCUGGGGUAGAUAAUCCGUUAAAUCACCAGAGCUCUGCAGUCACCACCUCCGUUGGGCUCCCCACAGAGCCCCCUGCUCAGUACAGAGAAAAGCAAAAAUGAGUGGGGUCCUGCAGCACGGGCCUCCAUCCCACUUCCUCGGGAGGCUGAGGCAGGAGGACCACGAAUUCAAGCCCAGUCUGGGCAACUUAGUGACUUAGCAAGAUCCUGUCUCAAAAAUAAAAAGGGCUGAGGACAUAGCACAGUGCAAAGGGCCUGGGUUUGAGGCUAGUACCCGACCCCCCCAGGAACCAGUCUAAAGCAGUUGCUCUACAGAUGGAGAAACUGAGUCCCGGAGAGGACAGCGGCCCUGCCAGGAGUGGUGCUGAUUCCCAGCUCAGCAGGGUGAGGGGAAACCAUGGCUCUUCUGGGGCCGUGGCCAGAGGCUUAACCUUGGCAGGCCUCAGUUUCCCCAUGGGCUGGUGUUCGGAUCGCCCAGGGCCCAGGCAAGACGAAGCGCAGUGCUGGCGGUGGCCGGGCCGUUUCGCCACAUCCCGUCCCCCGUGUGCCUUGGCAACUUGGAGUGGGAAGCAGUGAGUCAACAGCCACCAGCCAGGCACCGGGGCACAGGCGGCUCUCGAAGAAUGCGGUGAUGGAGCAACCAGCCUUGCUCAAGGCGGCCAGGCCGCCGUCCCUCCUGCAGCCGGGUUGCCCAACCGGCCCACAGCGGGGUUUCAUCAGUGGCCCUCCAGGUCACGCAGGACGGCUGGCUCCGCAGGGCUGGGCAGGGCAGGGACACCUGGCAAGAAGCCACCUGAUGUCCCUGAGUGCCUGCUGGGUGCCAGACCCUGUGGAGCUCAGCAGCAACCGAGACCAGGGCCUUGCCGAGAAGGCCGAGUGGGGACAUGGGGCAUGGACCGAACCGCGACUCAGGCUUGGAGAAGACACGGCCUAGGGCUCAGGCCUCACAGCGGUGUCCUAUCCCUCGCCAGGCCCCAGGGCAGAGUGGCGCCUCCCAUCACUGCCACUGGAGCCAGCUUCCUCCCUGUCCUGACACAGGAGGCCCCGGAGGGCAGGGACACCAAGGAGGCCACUCGCUGUCUGUGUCUGGGGCCGGCCAAAGCCCCGGGCCGUGGGACACCUGGCCCCUGCUACCUGCUGAAUGAUGGGAGGGCUGCCAGCUUGGCCUUAGCUUUGCACGAUGCUUGGGCUAGGCUGUGCUGGGGACCUGGGGCUGUGCAGACGGACACGCCAGGUGACAUCCCCUGGCCUGGGUGUAACCCUCAGCCCAGGGCCGAGGCCACCAGCUCAGUGACCACCAGGCCCACAAGCCUCGGCCCACUGCCUGCCACAUGCACCCAAGGCCAUUCCGAAAUGCUGGGGGCUGAGUCACUUGUGACAGACAGGGGUCCAAGUGGCUCCUGGACCUGCAGCCUGGGAAGGCUGAGAUCCAGGGCCCAAAUCUGCGCCCCCAAGUCCAGCUCGGGCCACCGCUGCUCAGAGUCCCUCUGGACAUGCUGAGGUCCUUGACCCUGCAGCCUGAGAGCCCCGCGGAGGAGGAGGAGCUGGUGGCCAUGGGGAGGACAGCGUGGAGGGGCAGG